rnacentral:rRNA from 1 species
UACGUAGGGUGCGAGCGUUGUCCGGAUUUAUUGGGCGUAAAGAGCUCGUAGGCGGUGUGUCGCGUCGGUCGUGAAAACUUGGGGCUUAACCCUGAGCUUGCGGUCGAUACGGGCAUCACUGGAGUUCGGCAGGGGAGACUGGAAUUCCUGGUGUAGCGGUGAAAUGCGCAGAUAUCAGGAGGAACACCAAUAGCGAAGGCAGCUCGCUGGGACGUUACUGACACUGAGGCGCGAAAGCGUGGGGAGCGAACAGG